rnacentral:rRNA from 1 species
AUCGAACGCUGGCGGCAGGCCUAACACAUGCAAGUCGAGCGGAUGAAGGGAGCUUGCUCCUGGAUUCAGCGGCGGACGGGUGAGUAAUGCCUAGGAAUCUGCCUGGUAGUGGGGGAUAACGUCCGGAAACGGGCGCUAAUACCGCAUACGUCCUGAGGGAGAAAGUGGGGGAUCUUCGGACCUCACGCUAUCAGAUGAGCCUAGGUCGGAUUAGCUAGUUGGUGGGGUAAAGGCCUACCAAGGCGACGAUCCGUAACUGGUUUGAGAGGAUGAUCAGUCACACUGGAACUGAGACACGGUCCAGACUCCUACGGGAGGCAGCAGUGGGGAAUAUUGGACAAUGGGCGAAAGCCUGAUCCAGCCAUGCCGCGUGUGUGAAGAAGGUCUUCGGAUUGUAAAGCACUUUAAGUUGGGAGGAAGGGCAGUAAGUUAAUACCUUGCUGUUUUGACGUUACCAACAGAAUAAGCACCGGCUAACUUCGUG